rnacentral:rRNA from 1 species
CCUACGGGAGACAGCAGUGGGGGAUAUUGCACAAUGGGGGAAACCCUGAUGCAGCGACGCCGCGUGGGCGAAGAAGUAUUUCGGUAUGUAAAGCCCUAUCAGCAGGGAAGAAGAAAUGACGGUACCUGAGUAAGAAGCACCGGCUAAAUACGUGCCAGCAGCCGCGGUAAUACGUAUGGUGCAAGCGUUAUCCGGAUUUACUGGGUGGAAAGGGAGCGCAGGCGGCACGGCAAGCCUGAUGUGAAAGCCCGCGGCCCAACCGCGGGACUGCAUUGGGAACUACCGGGCUGGAGUGCCGGAGAGGUAGGCGGAAUUCCUAGUGUAGCGGUGAAAUGCGUAGAUAUUAGGAGGAACACCAGUGGCGAAGGCGGCCUACUGGACGGUGACUGACGCUGAGGCUCGAAAGCGUGGGGAGCAAACAGGAUUAGAUACCCUGGUAGUC